rnacentral:rRNA from 1 species
GACGAACGCUGGCGGCGCGCCUAACACAUGCAAGUCGAACGGAGCUGAGAGAAGCUUGCUUUUCUUAGCUUAGUGGCGAACGGGUGAGUAACGCGUGAGUAACCUGCCCUGGAGUGGGGGACAACAGUUGGAAACGACUGCUAAUACCGCAUAAGCCCACGAUCCGGCAUCGGAUUGAGGGAAAAGGAUUUAUUCGCUUCAGGAUGGACUCGCGUCCAAUUAGCUAGUUGGUGAGGUAACGGCCCACCAAGGCGACGAUUGGUAGCCGGACUGAGAGGUUGAACGGCCACAUUGGGACUGAGACACGGCCCAGACUCCUACGGGAGGCAGCAGUGGGGGAUAUUGCACAAUGGGGGAAACCCUGAUGCAGCGACGCCGCGUGGAGGAAGAAGGUUUUCGGAUUGUAAACUCCUGUCGUUAGGGACGAUAAUGACGGUACCUAACAAGAAAGCACCGGCUCACUACGUG